AGAAAAAGACAAAACAAUAUAUGCUGAAUGUGCCAGACGGGUACAGACCCCUUGUGACAAAAUAUAAAUGUAGCCCUUAAACUGCCAGAGACCACUAUUUUGAGGAUAACUAAAAGGAGGGCCAAACAAAAGUAUCACCACAAUAUUUUGGAAAAGCCUCUCCUAUAAAACAGAUAUUAUUUUAGUUGUAUAAACAUGUCCACAUUAAUAUUCUAGGUUUUUAAGGCAUUUUGUCAUUCUCCUGAGUAACACCCUGAACACUAUGAAAUAAGGCAG